GACGAACCGUGCGAACGUUAUUCGGAAUCACUGGGCUUAAAGCGCGUGUAGGCGGGCCGCCGCGUCGGCUGCUGAAAUCCCCCGGCUCAACCGAGGAACGGGCACCGAUACGGGCGGCCUCGAGGGGGGUAGGGGGGACUGGAACUUCCGGUGGAGCGGUGAAAUGCGUUGAGAUCGGAAGGAACGCCCGUGGCGAAAGCGAGUCCCUGGACCCUUUCUGACGCUGAGACGCGAAAGCCAGGGGAGCGAACGGG
rnacentral:rRNA from 1 species